rnacentral:rRNA from 1 species
CCCUUAGAUGUUCUGGGCCGCACGCGCGCUACACUGAUGAAUGCAACGAGCUCUACCCUUGACCGAAAGGCCCGGGUAAACUUGUGAAACUUCAUCGUGAUGGGGAUAGAUUAUUGCAAUUAUUAAUCUUCAACGAGGAAUUCCUAGUAAGCGCGAGUCAUCAGCUCGCGUUGAUUACGUCCCUGCCCUUUGUAUACACCGCCCGUCGCUCCUACCGAUUGAAUGGUCCGGUGAAAUCUUCGGAUUGCUGACCAAGAUCCAGCAAUGGAGCUUGGUUGCGAGAAGUUGAUUAAACCUUAUUAUUUAGAGGAAGGAGAAGUCGUAACA